rnacentral:rRNA from 1 species
AGCGAACGCUGGCGGCAGGCUUAACACAUGCAAGUCGAGCGGGCGUAGCAAUACGUCAGCGGCAGACGGGUGAGUAACGCGUGGGAACGUACCUUUUGGUUCGGAACAACACAGGGAAACUUGUGCUAAUACCGGAUAAGCCCUUACGGGGAAAGAUUUAUCGCCGAAAGAUCGGCCCGCGUCUGAUUAGCUAGUUGGUGAGGUAAUGGCUCACCAAGGCGACGAUCAGUAGCNGGUCUGAGAGGAUGAUCAGCCACAUUGGGACUGAGACACGGCCCAAACUCCUACGGGAGGCAGCAGUGGGGAAUAUUGGACAAUGGGGGCAACCCUGAUCCAGCCAUGCCGCGUGAGUGAUGAAGGCC